GGAGGGGUGGCCGAGUGGCUUAAGGCGACGGUCUUGAAAACCGUUGGGCGAAAGUCCCGUGGGUUCAAAUCCCACUCCCUCCGCCA
rnacentral:tRNA from 1 species